rnacentral:rRNA from 1 species
CCUACGGGGGGCAGCAGUGGGGAAUAUUGGACAAUGGGCGAAAGCCUGAUCCAGCCAUGCCGCGUGUGUGAAGAAGGCCUUCGGGUUGUAAAGCACUUUCAGUGGGGAAGAAAGCCUUGGGGCUAAUACCCUCGAGGAAGGACAUCACCCACAGAAGAAGCACCGGCUAACUCCGUGCCAGCAGCCGCGGUAAUACGGAGGGUGCGAGCGUUAAUCGGAAUUGCUGGGCGUAAAGCGCGCGUAGGCGGUCUGAUAAGCCGGUUGUGAAAGCCCCGGGCUCAACCUGGGAACGGCAUCCGGAACUGUCAGGCUAGAGUGCAGGAGAGGAAGGUAGAAUUCCCGGUGUAGCGGUGAAAUGCGUAGAGAUCGGGAGGAAUACCAGUGGCGAAGGCGGCCUUCUGGACUGACACUGACGCUGAGGUGCGAAAGCGUGGGUAGCAAACAGGAUUAGAUACCCGAGUAGUC